rnacentral:tmRNA from 1 species
GGGGCUGACUUGGAUUUCGACAGAUUUCUUGUCGCACAGAUAGCAUGCCAAGCGCUGCUUGUAAAACAGCAACAAAAAUAACUGUAAACAACGCAGAUUACGCUCCAGCUUACGCUAAAGUUGCGUGAGUUAAUCUCCUUUUGGAGCUGGACUGAUUAGAAUUUCUAGCGUUUUAAUCACUCCAUAACCUUAAGCUAGACGCUUUUAAAAGGUGGUUCGCCUUUUAAACUAAGAAACAAGAACUCUUGAAACUACCUCAAGGUUUUAGAAAGUUGGACCAGAGCUAGUUUUAAGGCUAAAAACUAACCAAUUUUCUAAGCAUUGUAGAAGUUUGUGUUUAGGGCAAGAUUUUUGGACUGGGGUUCGAUUCCCCACAGCUCCACCA